rnacentral:lncRNA from 1 species
UUUAAUGUCAUAUUUUGUUAAAUAUAAAAAUGUUUAAACACCGUUCUCUAAAAGUUUAAGCUUUUAGAGUACAACGAUUGUUUCGCAUGGUAUCAGAGCAGGAGGUCCUGAAUUCGAAUCACACCAGGCUCCUAGCAUAUUAAUUUCCCCCCAUUUAAUUCAAACCCACGUCAUGGGCCGAUUAAAAAGUCUCGAGCCCAGACGUGAGGAAAAGUGUUGAAUAUAAAAAUGUUUAAACACUAUUCUCUAAAAGCUUAAGUACAACGGUUGUUUCACGUAUUUACACUUAUUCUUAUAAAAUUUUACAACGGAAUUCAUUAAUUAUCUCAACUUUUAAAACAUAUUU